AUGGUGCCUAUAUCACUGUGAGUGAGUGUGUGUGUUGGGGGAAGGGGAGGAGGACACUUGGAUUGGCUUCACACAUUACACCCAUGUGGGGAUCCAACCCAGAUUUAUUGCUUAACAAGCAAUCACUUUAACUAGGCUACCCCACAGCCUGCUUACAUCACAGUUUAAAGCUUGGGCCAUCUGAGUAUCAAGCUUGGCCAUAUUAUCAGAGCGAGUAUCGUAUGGUCAGUUGCCUGCUCAUCUGGUCUAAAGCUUGGCCUUCUUUAGCAUCACUCUCUUUCCACGCAUUCCAUGGCUUGGUGGUCACAUGACUCCGAAACUAGCUCGGGUCAUUCGUCACCACUCGUCUCGGCUUGUCCCGUAAUAACACGAGUUGGUCACGAAUGUAGCUCGGGUAAGCUUCCUCUCCUGACUGCAUCCCACCACCACGUCACCAGGAACACAACUUAAACCCCUACCAGGCCUGGGAUGCCGAAAGAACAGGCAGCUGCGGUUGAUCCUCGUCCAGAGAAAGUCAAAACGUCCAGAGAAAGUCAAAACGCCCCGCAUCACGUAACAGCAUCCACAAGAGUCGGCGAGACAUCAGACCCUGAUCUGUCAGCCAUUGGUUACUUCUACAGCAACAUAGGUUGAUGGUCAAUACAAACUAUAAGACUGACGCUUAUUCCCUGAAAAUAAAUAAUUUUGAUAGAAACAAAUAACUCCUUUUAAUUGAAAGGAGCCCCAGUGAGAUAUGAGAUUCAGAACCCGAGGAAAAUCUAGACUUCUGAA